GAUGAAGAACGCAGCGAAAUGCGAUAAGUAAUGUGAAUAGCAGAAUUCAGUGAAUCAUCGAAUCUUUGAACGCACAUUGCGCCCGCCAGUAUUCUGGCGGGCAUGCCUGUUCGAGCGUCAUUUCAACCAUCAAGCCCCAGGCUUGUGUUGGGGACCUGCGGCUGCCGCAGGCCCUGAAAACCAGUGGCGGGCUCGCUGUCACACCGGGCGUAGUAGAUUUUAUCUCGCUCAGGGCGUGCUGCGGGUCCCGGCCGUUAAAAGCCUUUUUUUACCCAAGGUUGACCUCGGAUCAGGUAGGAAGACCCGCUGAACUUAAGCAUAUCAUAAGCGGAGGA
rnacentral:misc_RNA from 1 species